rnacentral:lncRNA from 1 species
GGCGGGGCUUCUCUGAGGUGAAACACCGCCAACGCCCGGGCGGCUCCAACGUGUGCACCGGCUUCAACAGAUGGAAAUUGCAGCCACAGCCGAGUGUGGGCCAAGGACCAUUAAUAUGGUAAAGCCAGAAAAAAGAUGCUGGGUCUUGUCAUUAACUCUAGAGUGAGAUGUGUUGUAAGAAGAGUGUAUUUCUAUGAAGUGUAUUUGGUGCAUAAGAAGCUCUGUCAAGAACAGAGUUUGGAAAUGUUGUGUGUCAGUUUUAACUUUAAUGUAGCCUCACACACAGCUGGAUUGCUACAAAUGAAGGGCUGUAAACCUGUGCUGCUAGCCAGUGAGUAGAGGUGCAGAAGAGACAAACCUCUUCAACUGUCUGUGCCUCUGGAGAGAUCAUUACAGUGAGCUCUACCUCUGCAGUCCCACAGGAAUUUUGGAUUUGACCUUCUGGACAUGUAUGUAUGGUAUGUAAAUGGCCCUUGUGACAUCAGUGUAAUUAUUCAAACGUGAGGUUACAUGUCUGUAAAUAUGGUGCUUAUUUUGUUCUUUUUUCUCCCGAUUCAGCAGUUAAGAUUAUGAAUGCAUUGGUGCAUGCAGCUACUUAAAAAAAAAAUAAUGAUAGGGUCAAAAAGCAUAGCAGAAAAUACUAAGGGAACAACAAAACUCUGGCUUGUUGUAUCUUUUUAAUGGUAUUUACGCUGGAAGCCUGAAAAGAAUGCAAAGGUUAACUAUAUUUGUAAUUAAUUCAUCAUGAAAAGGAAGCAAAAGAAAAAAUUAUCCUAUUUUUAUAGUAUAUGUGCUGCAGUUUGAAUUUGCAUUUUUUAAAAUUGAGAAUUUCAGCUUUCAUACUGCCUGAGGGAGAACAGCCAAAUUUGAAAGCUAGGGACGUUUCUGAUGUAGUAGUUAAUCACUUUAAAUGCAUCAGUAAUGUCCAUUAACAACAGCUUCUGUUGAAUGAGCAUAUUAAAACAAAGGAAUUGUAAUACAUUGCUAAAACCUUAGUAAGUUUUGUAGUAGUAAAACUGAUUUGUUUGUGACUAGUGGAAAAACUGGAACUUUUAAAACAUACUUUGGUGUAGAGUAUAAAAUACUAUAUAGCUACCUAAGACUGUAUUAAAUAGUUGACCAAAAGCCAAAUUAAUAUUCAGUACAAUUGAAAGAUAUUCUUCAUAUUUUGAUGACAAAUAUAAUCCAGUGGUGUAAAUUUGGAUAGUUGACUGAACUUUGUGAAGAGAAGUAUGUGUUUGGACCUGUGGUUCUGUGCUCACAUUGAUCAAAUUCUGUCCUGCUGAGCAUUACAGAAAACAAAGAUUACAUAAGAUUGUCCUAACAUACACACAUUUUUAUUUGUCACAAGAUACUAUAAUUCCUCUUCAUAACAACAAAAUAUUAUAUUUACAUUUGUUAGAGAGGUUGUAAUUAUGAAAUUUCUAUUAUUUUGAGAAUUUCUUUUAAACGUUACAAGCAGCAAUAUUAAAUAUGCACCAAACAUCCAGUAAAUUUGAAAGUGAAUUAUCUAAAUCCAUUAUUUGUUUCCCCUUACAAAAUUCUGUUAUCUCAGUUAUGAUAUGAGUGGCAGUGUUCUUGUAUUGCAAAAUGCGUGAGCUUUUGUUGGACAACAUUCUGAGCAAAGCAGCUGUUUAUUGUAUUUGUACUAGUUCUUACCCCACACAUUUUUUCAGACCAUUAUUAGUAAAUUUUGAGGUUAGAGAGGUACUGACCCAAUCAAACAUGUACAGAGCUCAGCCUCUGAGUUAAUUAAAUGUGGCUUAAUACCAUAUUAUAAGGAAAUCAUUGUCCUUAUUACAGUUAUUAGGUAGUUAGUCAAAUUAUAGCUUCAAAGGAAUGCAGAGCAUGGAGAAUUUGGGACUAAAUUAUGCAUUUGAACCUUAGGCCAGCUUUUACUGUUGAGACAGUUUGCUGCUAAAAGAAAUUGUGUGUCAUUGAAAUUAAAUGCCUUUCUGGGGAUGGAAGCUUCCAUUUUUAAAUGAAAUUACUGAGUGUGGUGUAGUGAAAUGAUUAAAAUCUGUAUUACAGGAAUGUGAUGGACAAAAAAAAUCAAUAAAUGCUAGGAAACCUUUGCUGCUGGAUGUGAA